GACGAACGCUGGCGGCGUGCCUAAUACAUGCAAGUAGAACGCUGAGGUUUGGUGUUUACACUAGACUGAUGAGUUGCGAACGGGUGAGUAACGCGUAGGUAACCUGCCUCAUAGCGGGGGAUAACUAUUGGAAACGAUAGCUAAUACCGCAUAAGAGUAAUUAACACAUGUUGGUUAUUUAAAAGGAGCAAUUGCUUCACUGUGAGAUGGACCUGCGUUGUAUUAGCUAGUUGGUGAGGUAAAGGCUCACCAAGGCGACGAUACAUAGCCGACCUGAGAGGGUGAUCGGCCACACUGGGACUGAGACACGGCCCAGACUCCUACGGGAGGCAGCAGUAGGGAAUCUUCGGCAAUGGACGGAAGUCUGACCGAGCAACGCCGCGUGAGUGAAGAAGGUUUUCGGAUCGUAAAGCUCUGUUGUUAGAGAAGAACGUUGGUAGGAGUGGAAAAUCUACCAAGUGACGGUAACUAACCAGAAAGGGACGGCUAACUACGUGCCAGCAGCCGCGGUAAUACGUAGGUCCCGAGCGUUGUCCGGAUUUAUUGGGCGUAAAGCGAGCGCAGGCGGUUCUUUAAGUCUGAAGUUAAAGGCAGUGGCUUAACCAUUGUACGCUUUGGAAACUGGAGGACUUGAGUGCAGAAGGGGAGAGUGGAAUUCCAUGUGUAGCGGUGAAAUGCGUAGAUAUAUGGAGGAACACCGGUGGCGAAAGCGGCUCUCUGGUCUGUAACUGACGCUGAGGCUCGAAAGCGCGGGGAGCAAACAGGAUUAGAUACCCUGGUAGUCCACGCCGUAAACGAUGAGUGCUAGGUGUUAGGCCCUUUCCGGGGCUUAGUGCCGCAGCUAACGCAUUAAGCACUCCGCCUGGGGAGUACGACCGCAAGGUUGAAACUCAAAGGAAUUGACGGGGGCCCGCACAAGCGGUGGAGCAUGUGGUUUAAUUCGAAGCAACGCGAAGAACCUUACCAGGUCUUGACAUCCUUCUGACCGGCCUAGAGAUAGGCUUUCUCUUCGGAGCAGAAGUGACAGGUGGUGCAUGGUUGUCGUCAGCUCGUGUCGUGAGAUGUUGGGUUAAGUCCCGCAACGAGCGCAACCCCUAUUGUUAGUUGCCAUCAUUAAGUUGGGCACUCUAGCGAGACUGCCGGUAAUAAACCGGAGGAAGGUGGGGAUGACGUCAAAUCAUCAUGCCCCUUAUGACCUGGGCUACACACGUGCUACAAUGGUUGGUACAACGAGUCGCAAGCCGGUGACGGCAAGCUAAUCUCUUAAAGCCAAUCUCAGUUCGGAUUGUAGGCUGCAACUCGCCUACAUGAAGUCGGAAUCGCUAGUAAUCGCGGAUCAGCACGCCGCGGUGAAUACGUUCCCGGGCCU
rnacentral:rRNA from 1 species